UGUUCACAGAGGUCUAGGUGUUCAUAGAGGUCUAGAUGUUCAUAAAGGUCUAGAUGUUCAUAAAGGUCUAGAUGGUCAUAGAGGUCUAGGUGUUCAUAGAGGUCUAGGUGUUCACAGAGGUCUAGGUGUUCACAGAGGUCUAGGUGUUCACAGAGGUCUAGGUGUUCACAGAGGUCUAGGUGUUCACAGAGGUCUAGGUGUUCACAGAGGUCUAGGUGUUCACAGAGGUCUAGGUGUUCACAGAGGUCUAGGUGUUCACAGAGGUCUAGAUGUUCA